UCUUCACUCACCACCGAUCUUAUGAAAGCCUUAAUAGGAAGUGGGAGGCAGGAGAUGUGUGGGAGAUCACGGUGAUGACUCCAUGAAAUUCAAGCUCAACAGACCGGAAUGCAGUGCUUUCUCUCUUUCAUGAGAUUGCUUUGCGUGUCGACCACCCCGCUGACCUGAGUGAUCUCUUGCACUUCUUCCUCCUCUUUUCUAUGCUUUAUUUUUCGCAUUUUCUUUCAUUCUUUUUUUUUUUUUCAUUUUGAAAUGGGGAAAGAGGUUUUGACAAUGAGGAUAUAAAAGCUCCCUCUUCUGAAAUUGUAGUUGAGGAAUGUUGCUGGCAGAAUCGAACCAUAAAAACCUUUUGCCAUCACUGAGUUAUCUCUUUUC